rnacentral:rRNA from 1 species
UACGUAGGGGGCAAGCGUUGUCCGGAAUCAUUGGGCGUAAAGCGCGUGUAGGCGGUUCGGUAAGUCUGCUGUGAAAGUCCAGGGCUCAACCUCGAGACGUCGGCGGAAACCAUCUGGCUAGAGUCCGGAAGAGGAGAGUGGAAUUCCUGGUGUAGCGGUGAAAUGCGCAGAUAUCAGGAAGAACACCCGUGGCGAAGGCGGCUCACUGGUCCGGUACUGACGCUGAGGUGCGAAAGCGUGGGGAGCAAACAGG